GGGUCAUCUGUAACAAGCUAACUAAAUCGGUGUUGUAAUGUGCUAAAUUUUGUUGUGUUUUCAAGCAUUUUUCACCAGAAAAUUAACAAGUUUGCAUUUUGAAAGCCAUGCAAGUUGCUGACCAUAAAAGCAGUGACUACCCAUCUCACUGUUUUCCGAUAUACCAUUUCUCACUCAAGUUGGCCUUAAUUCAACCCACCUCUCCACCUAGAAAGCCUAAAAUUACACUAAACAACAUUAAUCACUUUACUGAAGAAAAGUUGAUGAAACGAACUGCACAAGGUGUGCUGGCGCAUAUAGAAGAUCAACUAAGAUGACAGUUUUUUAAAUUGUGUGCCAUCACUUAAUUCAAAGUCUUCUUCCACUUUGUAUUGCUUUCCAUCAAUCAUUAAUCAUCCCAUUGAUCCAGUCUUCUGCAGCUUCUUUCCUAGCCAACAGUCAACCAACAACAUCUCGAACAUCUAGUCAUCACAGCUUUUCUGCUUAGCCAGCCAUCAACUUUAGACUUCUGCCUCAUAUCAUAUUUGAUAACACCCUUUAUCUGGCAUAUCUCCAAAUGAGGUAUGCUUUGCCACUGUAGAACUUCGAAAUCCUCAUCAUCGGUUCCCAUCUCAACUGUACGGACUCUUCAUCGCCACUCGUACCUGGCGAACCUGUAGAGGUGUCAACCUCAUACUAUGAUCUGCCAUCAUUUCAUCAUUUCUGCCAAAAAUCGCCGUUUUAUCAAGUCAUCAAGUCAUGCACGCCUACGGAAUUCAUGACAUGACGUUCACUCCAAGUGAUACGAGCAACGUGGAGCGUCCCUCUCUUCAAAGCAACGUGGAACUUCAUUCUUCAAUACAACGUGGAACUUCAUUCUUCAAUACAACGUGGAACUUCAUUCUUCAAAGCAACGUGGAACUUCAUUCUUCAAAGCAACAUGGAACUUCAUUCUUCAAAGCAACGUGGAACUUCAUUCUUCAAAGCAACGUGGACGUCCCAUUCUUCUGUGGUAUUGCUUGUUUUGUUUUGCUUGUGAGUUAACCCGUUGGCUGCCACCCCGUUUGCUCCCUUUUUUUUUGUAGCUUUAGGGACCCGGCCGCGCUGUCCUGCCCGACGGGGUGGGGCAGUCGCAAUGGCCUUUGCCGAAAGGCAAGUAGGCAAUGCACCAAUAGGGACUUCUCUUUGUUCGAUGCAGUGGCGGAUUCCGGAGGGUGUGCAUUCCCUGUAAUGGUUUCCGUCACUGCAUCAGCCCGGACUUGUCUUCGGACAAGUCCUUUCAGUUCGUGGAUCCUUCAGACGCGAAGCGUAGUAAGUAGAAAAACAACCCAAGGGCGUGGCAGCCAACGGGGUAACUAG